GCCUACGGGUGGCUGCAGUGGGGAAUAUUGGACAAUGGGCGAAAGCCUGAUCCAGCAAUGCCGCGUGGGUGAAGAAGGCCUUAGGGUUGUAAACCCCUUUCAGCGGGGAAGAUAAUGACGGUACCCGCAGAAGAAGUCCCGGCUAACUCCGUGCCAGCAGCCGCGGUAAUACGGAGGGGACUAGCGUUGUUCGGAAUUACUGGGCGUAAAGCGCACGUAGGCGGAUUUGUAAGUCAGGGGUGAAAUCCCGGGGCUCAACCUCGGAACUGCCUUUGAUACUGCAAAUCUCGAGUCCGGAAGAGGUGAGUGGAAUUCCUAGUGUAGAGGUGAAAUUCGUAGAUAUUAGGAAGAACACCAGUGGCGAAGGCGGCUCACUGGUCCGGUACUGACGCUGAGGUGCGAAAGCGUGGGGAGCAAACAGGAUUAGAUACCCCUGUAGUC
rnacentral:rRNA from 1 species